AAAAGAAUUAGUUAAGAAAUAACAUUAGAAUGUCAAACUAAAAUCAUUAAAUUAUUAAUAUUCUUUG
rnacentral:tRNA from 1 species